rnacentral:rRNA from 1 species
AUUGAACGCUGGCGGCAUGCUUUACACAUGCAAGUCGAACGGUAACAGGGUGCUUGCACCGCUGACGAGUGGCGAACGGGUGAGUAAUGCGUCGGAACGUGCCGAGUAGUGGGGGAUAACGCAGCGAAAGUUGUGCUAAUACCGCAUACGUACUGAGGUAGAAAGUGGGGGACCUUCGGGCCUCACGCUAUUCGAGCGGCCGACGUCUGAUUAGCUAGUAGGUGAGGUAAAGGCUCACCUAGGCGACGAUCAGUAGCGGGUCGGAGAGGAUGAUCCGCCACACUGGGACUGAGAGACGGACCAGACUCCUACGGGAGGCAGCAGUGGGGAAUUUUGGACAAUGGGCGAAAGCCUGAUCCAGCCAUGCCGCGUGUCUGAAGAAGGCCUUCGGGUUGUAAAGGACUUUUGUCAGGGAGGAAAUCCCUAGUGCUAAUAACACUGGGGGAUGACAGUACCUGAAGAAUAAGCACCGGCUAACUACGUGCCAGCCGCCGCUGUAA